AUCUAAUACUUUUUCUCUUUUUGCAAUUUGCAUGUCGGACCGAAAGCACCUCAUCAAUUGCCUACAUGUUUAGUGCCUAUUCGCUAGCGAAAAAUAUUCUCACCAAUCAGAAAGUGGUAUUUGUUGACGUAAAAAGAGGGAAUUUCAAGAUGGCGGCGACGAAGUUACUGGGCAAAGUGCAACGUUGAAGCAUUUGUUAGGGAGAUAAACGGAGUCCCAUUUUUUUGAUAAGAAUGACGUUCGUUUAAAUGGAAAUUAAUUGCCGAAAGAUGUUUUAUUUCGAGUUAAACAAGUCCGAGGAUAGUUAAAAUUUGAUAAAAGACCACCCUACCAACUGUCAACUUUAUCUAUACCCAAUUUAGAAAUUCCUGGCCUGAAGGAGGAAGGUAGAGAGAAAAAAAAAAAAGCGAAAGUAACUUGACAACCAAUCUGGAUAAGUUGAUGAACAUGCCAUGAAAAGAUAAUCUGUGUCAUACCUAGAAAAGAUUGAAGGGAUCCAUGUUGUCAUUGUUUUUUUUUCACAUUUUCCCAUCUAUUCCUCUACGUAAAGUAUUCUCUAAAUCGUUUAUUAUAAUUUUUAGUGAUCGAUGAGAAUACAUUGAAUUUUUAUGAAUCCAAAAAAUGUCAUAUAUACUUAAGAUCAAUAAGUGAUACUCCAAUGAGGAAGAAGAUUUGAAGAGAU